UACGAAGGGGGGCUAGCGUUGCUCGGAAUCACUGGGCGUAAAGGGUGCGUAGGCGGGUCUUUUAAGUCAGGGGUGAAAUCCUGGAGCUCAACUCCAGAACUGCCUUUGAUACUGAGGAUCUUGAGUUCGGGAGAGGUGAGUGGAACUGCGAGUGUAGAGGUGAAAUUCGUAGAUAUUCGCAAGAACACCAGUGGCGAAGGCGGCUCACUGGCCCGAUACUGACGCUGAGGAACGAAAGCUAGGGGAGCAAACAGG
rnacentral:rRNA from 1 species